GUCUAUGACCAUGCUACCCUGAACAAGCCCAAUCCUGUCUGAUCUUGGAAGCUAAGCAGGGUCGGGUCUGGUUAAUACUUGGAUGGGAGACCACCUAGGAAGACCAACUGCUGAAGGCG
rnacentral:rRNA from 1 species